CCCAUUGAUGCCAGCCAUGGUCAACUUGCCUCCACAAAUGACAUUCUCUCAGUACCACCUGACCAGCAAUGCAAGAACUUUGCCAAGAAUGUUGUAAAGAAAUUUCCAUUUUCACAGGCAGUUACCUACCUAGAAAUGUUGCUGAGAUUGGAUGAAACUCUACACGUAAGCACAGUGGUGUGCCCCUGAAUUGCUAUUCCCGUCCUAUUAAUUAUGAC